CCUACGGGAGGCAGCAGUGGGGAAUCUUGCGCAAUGGGCGAAAGCCUGACGCAGCCAUGCCGCGUGAAUGAUGAAGGUCUUAGGAUUGUAAAAUUCUUUCACCGGGGACGAUAAUGACGGUACCCGGAGAAGAAGCCCCGGCUAACUUCGUGCCAGCAGCCGCGGUAAUACGAAGGGGGCUAGCGUUGCUCGGAAUUACUGGGCGUAAAGGGAGCGUAGGCGGAUAGUUUAGUCAGAGGUGAAAGCCCAGGGCUCAACCUUGGAAUUGCCUUUGAUACUGGCUAUCUUGAGUAUGGGAGAGGUAUGCGGAACUCCGAGUGUAGAGGUGAAAUUCGUAGAUAUUCGGAAGAACACCAGUGGCGAAGGCGGCAUACUGGCCCAUUACUGACGCUGAGGCUCGAAAGCGUGGGGAGCAAACAGGAUUAGAUACCCUGGUAGUCCACGCUGUAAACGAUGAGUGCUAGUUGUCGGCAUGCAUGCAUGUCGGUGACGCAGCUACGACAUAAGUACACUCCGCCGUCGGGUAGGUACGGUCGGCGAAGAAGUUAAACGUAACGAACGAAGUAGUAGACGCGAGAGAGCGACGACGACGACGACGGAGGAGGAGG
rnacentral:rRNA from 1 species